rnacentral:lncRNA from 13 species
ACUGUAAAGUCGUCAUCCUUCCUCUGCAUAUGGUGUCUAGUAGGCAUGCUUGUAGGCGAUGUGUCAUGUGUGCAUGCCAAAAUUGUGCAAUAGGGCUGGAGGAGAUGAUUGAUUAGGGGAAGUGGAGAGGAGAGAGGGUAGAACUGCCGGUUUUAGUCACCCUGAUUGAAGGUGACAUAAUAUCGUAUAGUUUCCGUCACCAUAAAAUAAUCGAGACGUGGCCUGAUAGCUACAUCAUUGGCUGAACGCGAUAGAGGCGUGGUUAACGCAGCAGAAAGUCCUAAAAGCAGGGUUGACGUUUAAAAGCGGUUCAUUCGCAGCGGAACGCAGAGAACAGUCUGUUUUACAUCCAUUUGAAUGACUACACAACAAAGAGGAAUUCUGGCGAAAUGGUGUCAAUCUUCGCUGUGCAUGGAGACUGACUGCCUGUUACACGAAUGCAGUAGAAGCCUAGUGGUGUUUCUGCUGAUUAGAUGUGCCAACUUCCUGUCCAUGCACUGUAACUGUUCUCAAGCUCCCAAUGGUACAACAACCUAUCACCUCUCAGAGCCCCCGCCUUCAAUGAAUUGUGAAACAGAGUGGGCAUAUCCAAAUGGAUCCACGCUGACCUUUAAAGGUGAAACAAAUGCAAAUCAGGUUCUGGGUCUGACCAGACAGUCCAUCACUACCACAGUCUGUCUGGGCAGCCUGAAGUAUACGGUGGACUGCGUAAAGCCUCAGGUGGUGAAUAAAGUAGAAUGUAACUGCACCAUGGAACCUAGCAGCCCCUCUAAUCCUGACCACAUCAAGGAUGUCAGACCAGAUGAAAGGUCCCACACACUGGCCUGGAUUCCUGUGGGAUGUUUUGCUGUAGUCAUCAUACUGUUAUUUGCUGGAGAGAGUUACAGAUGUGUUGACAGGAGCAGGAAUAGGACCCAACGAACCUCAGUUAAUGUGGACAACGCAGAAGAAACCAAAGUGUGAAUGUGUGUACGUGGGUCUGGGGGUAUGUUUUGUGCCCGUGUGUGUGUUUUGUGGUGCGUGGGUGGGAGCGUGCGGGGGUGUGUGUGUGUG